AGUGAACGCUGGCGGUAGGCCUAACACAUGCAAGUCGAACGGCAGCACAGGAGAGCUUGCUCUCUGGGUGGCGAGUGGCGGACGGGUGAGGAAUACAUCGGAAUCUACCUUUUCGUGGGGGAUAACGUAGGGAAACUUACGCUAAUACCGCAUACGACCUACGGGUGAAAGUGGGGGACCGCAAGGCCUCACGCGAUUAGAUGAGCCGAUGUCCGAUUAGCUAGUUGGCGGGGUAAUGGCCCACCAAGGCGACGAUCGGUAGCUGGUCUGAGAGGAUGGUCAGCCACACUGGCACUGAGACACGGUCCAGACUCCUACGGGAGGCAGCAGUGGGGAAUAUUGGACAAUGGGCGCAAGCCUGAUCCAGCCAUACCGCGUGGGUGAAGAAGGCCUUCGGGUUGUAAAGCCCUUUUGUUGGGAAAGAAAUCCUGUCGAUUAAUACUCGGUGGGGAUGACGGUACCCAAAGAAUAAGCACCGGCUAACUUCGUGCCAGCCGCCGCAGUAACAC
rnacentral:rRNA from 1 species